rnacentral:lncRNA from 1 species
AUGUAUGGCUCCAGUGGCAGCUUUCCUUUGAACAAGAGGGAUCGGUGUGUAUCCCUACAUAGACGAUUGGCUACUGGUAGCACCUUCACAGGAGCAAGUGCUACGUCACACCAACACCACACUUUCCUUACUAGCAGACCUAGGACUCUGGGUCAACUACAAAAAGUCAAUGCUGAUCCCAUCACAAGUAGCAAACUACAUAGGUGCAGUACUAGAUGCUCAGAAGGCGAGGGCGUUUCUUCUGCAGGAACGAGCUACCAAAAUUCUGUCCUUAAUCCAUCAAUUUAUACCUCUACGGCAUACAACAGCGCAUCACACACAAAAACUUCUGGGACUCAUGGCGUCCACCACGUCCAUAGUCCAACACACCAGGCUCAAGAUGAGGUCCCUUCAGGCCUGGUAUCUUUCACUCUUCAAUCCUCUCUUGGACCUGCCCAGCAAGCACCUUCUAGCCACUCCCGAAUUGGCACAACUACUUCUUUGGUGGGCCAAUCCGGCCAAUCUGUUCAUAGGGCAUCCUUUUGCCCCACUUCUCCUGACUUCAAGAGUCACUACCGAUGCCAGUGCUGUAGGUUGGGGAGCUCAUUGCAACCACCUUCAGGUCCAUGCAACCUGGAUGCCGAGAGAGAAGCAGUUCCACAUCAACAUCCUGGAAUUUCUUGCAAUCUUCAAGGCCUGUUGGGCAUUCCUUCUGAUGAUAGCAGGCACGGCUGUUCAGAUAACCACAGACAAUAUAACAGCCAUGUAUUAUAUCAACAAGCAGGAAGGCAUGCAUUCUCUCCCUCUCCUGUACCUGAUGGUUCAGUUUUGGGAGUGGUGCCUAGAUCAUCACAUCUUCCCCUCCGCAGUGCAUAUCUCCACACAGGACAAUGCCUGGGCAGACCAACUCAUCAGGACACUGUCUCAGAUGCACGGAUGGUCCCUCACUCAGGUCGUUUUUUAUCUCAACAUCUGCAAGAGAUGGUGAUGUCCAAUGAUAGAUGCAUUCGCCACCCAGGACAACACAAAAUGUGCGAUUUACUUCUCCAGGGCAGGGAUAGGAGCAGGUUCGAGGGGCAACACUCUCAUGGUACCAUGGAACAAACAUCUCUUAUACAUGUUUCCUCCCAUACCACUCGUAUUAAGGACUAUCGUGAAGAUACAACAAGACAAUGCAAAUGCGAUCCUUAUUGCUCCUACUAG